UACGAAGGGGGCUAGCGUUGUUCGGAAUUACUGGGCGUAAAGGGCGCGUAGGCGCUUGUCAGUCAGAUGUGAAAGCCCCCGGGCUCAACCUGGGAACCGCAUUUGAUACUGCAAGGCUCGAGUCCGGAAGAGGUGAGUGGAAUUCCUAGUGUAGAGGUGAAAUUCGUAGAUAUUAGGAAGAACACCAGUGGCGAAGGCGGCUCACUGGUCCGGUACUGACGCUGAGGUGCGAAAGCGUGGGAGCAAACAGG
rnacentral:rRNA from 1 species